CCUACGGGCGGCAGCAGUGGGGAAUAUUGGACAAUGGGCGAAAGCCUGAUCCAGCCAUGCCGCGUGUGUGAAGAAGGCCUUCGGGUUGUAAAGCACUUUCAGUGGGGAAGAAAGCCUUGGGGCUAAUACCCUCGAGGAAGGACAUCACCCACAGAAGAAGCACCGGCUAACUCUGUGCCAGCAGCCGCGGUAAUACGGAGGGUGCGAGCGUUAAUCGGAAUUACUGGGCGUAAAGCGCGCGUAGGCGGUCUGAUAAGCCGGUUGUGAAAGCCCCGGGCUCAACCUGGGAACGGCAUCCGGAACUGUCAGGCUAGAGUGCAGGAGAGGAAGGUAGAAUUCCCGGUGUAGCGGUGAAAUGCGUAGAGAUCGGGAGGAAUACCAGUGGCGAAGGCGGCCUUCUGGACUGACACUGACGCUGAGGUGCGAAAGCGUGGGUAGCAAACAGGAUUAGAUACCCUUGUAGUC
rnacentral:rRNA from 1 species